UACAGAGGCAACCCUAAGUCAAAAAGCAAAUAUCACUGUCUCUUCUUCUGCACAGCACCGCGUAGCCAUAGCCUACUGUCGAUCUUUUCAUCUUGAACUCUCCGACGUCACUGUUUUUGUUUCUUGCCAGAAAAGGAUCAUAGCUCUGUUACCGUCGUUCUAGUUUCAGUCAUCAUCUCAGGCGCUUUGUGGUUUUAAAAAGGUUUUGAAUUAUAAAAAAAAAGUAACAGUGGAUAUAAGGUACUGGAAGGCUGCUUCACGAGAAGAGUUGAGAGGAUAAUUGCUGAUUGAAUCAGUAAAGAUAGCUUCGAUAAUGUGAUGCUGGAGUAUUUAGUCAAGUGGCAAGGCCUUUCAUAUGCAGAAGCGACCUGGGAGAAGGACGUAGAUAUUGCUUUUGCUCAAGAUUCUAUGGAUGAGUACAAGGUGGAGUAUCACAUAGGUUUUGUUUUUUGUUCAAUUUUUUUUUUUCUCAUUUUUCAUUUCCUUUUAGUGAGCUUUCCUUCAGCAUGGCAAAAUUUUUUCUGUUCAUUACGUUUUGAUAACUAAAAAUUCUUUAAUCUAUUUUUUAGCCCAUAUUAUGGAUGGCUGAAUCACUAUAGACAUGCCUCAAGUUUUCACUCUGCCUGGUCCUUUGUAUUGAUCUAAAAUUAUCUUCUGUUCGUUUCUAGAAUUAUGGUUGAAUGUGAUAUUUUAACUAUAAUGUAUGACUUGCACACUUUCAUCUGAUCUCUACAUCAUUGGAUUAGGAUAAUGAAUGGGUGAAAAUUUAAAUGAAGUUUUCAAUCCGGAAAAUAAGUAAAAGAUACCAACCCUCAUAGUUCUGCACAAUAUCUUUAUUAUGCUGUAAUCAUAACUUUAGCAUAGUGAGCUUGCUAUAUGGUGGUGGAUGAGCAUGCAUAAUUUAUAACAGGAUUUUGUAUAGUUUUGAGGUUUGCGAUCAAUCUUUUGUUUGUAUGUUAAAAUCAUUGUUUAGUCCAUUUCUUUGUAAUAUACUUGUGAAUAUGAACACACA